rnacentral:misc_RNA from 1 species
AAGUCGUAACAAGGUUUCCGUAGGUACAAAUAGGUUUGCCUGCCGAAACCUCCCGCAACGACGUUAAAAAACUGCGCGGUCUGCGCCCUAUUGGCGUGGGCAACACCGUUUAAGUGCUGAGAAUGCCCGGCGAGAGCCCCGCACAACCAGCAGCCAGCAGUUACUGCCUGGUCCACAGAUCAAUCGACGGUGACCGUUAUCGGUUAAGUUAUGACCGGUCCAGAGCCCCAACGGGCCCUGGAGCCAUGGAACCUGCGGAAGGAUCAUUACCGAGAGACGGGGUCUAACCGGCCUCAACUCUUCAUCCGUGUCUACGUACCAAUGUUGCUUUGGCGAGCCUCGGGCUUGUUCCGGGGAGUUCACGCUCCUUCGCCCGCCAAAGGCCCAUAUAAAACCUGUUAUCAGUGUCGUCCGAGUAAACAUAUAAUAAUUAAAACUUUCAACAACGGAUCUCUUGGUUCUG